CACCUGGUAGCACAUGGUGUGCACCUGCCUUCCUUGUAAGGAUCUGUUUGUAGGCAGGAGGUCCCCGUUCGACUCGGGGUUGGGUGA